CGCUAUCACUCCUACGGGGAGGCAGCAGUAGGGAAUCUUCCACAAUGGGCGCGAGCCUGAUGGAGCAACACCGCGUGAGUGAAGAAGGGUUUCGGCUCGUAAAGCUCUGUUGUUAAAGAAGAACACGUAUGAGAGUAACUGUUCAUACGUUGACGGUAUUUAACCAGAAAGUCACGGCUAACUACGUGCCAGCAGCCGCGGUAAUACGUAGGUGGCAAGCGUUAUCCGGAUUUAUUGGGCGUAAAGAGAGUGCAGGCGGUUUUCUAAGUCUGAUGUGAAAGCCUUCGGCUUAACCGGAGAAGUGCAUCGGAAACUGGAUAACUUGAGUGCAGAAGAGGGUAGUGGAACUCCAUGUGUAGCGGUGGAAUGCGUAGAUAUAUGGAAGAACACCAGUGGCGAAGGCGGCUACCUGGUCUGCAACUGACGCUGAGACUCGAAAGCAUGGGUAGCGAACAGGAUUAGAUACCCUGGUAG
rnacentral:rRNA from 1 species